rnacentral:rRNA from 1 species
GAUGAACGCUGGCGGCGUGCCUAAUACAUGCAAGUCGAGCGAACGGACGAGAAGCUUGCUUCUCUGAUGUUAGCGGCGGACGGGUGAGUAACACGUGGAUAACCUACCUAUAAGACUGGGAUAACUUCGGGAACCGUAGCUAAUACCGGAUAAUAUUUUGAACCGCAUGGUUCAAAAGUGAAAGACGGUCUUGCUGUCACUUAUAGAUGGAUCCGCGCUGCAUUAGCUAGUUGGUAAGGUAACGGCUUACCAAGGCAACGAUGCAUAGCCGACCUGAGAGGGUGAUCGGCCACACUGGAACUGAGACACGGUCCAGACUCCUACGGGAGGCAGCAGUAGGGAAUCUUCCGCAAUGGGCGAAAGCCUGACGGAGCAACGCCGCGUGAGUGAUGAAGGUCUUCGGAUCGUAAAACUCUGUUAUUAGGGAAGAACAUAUGUGUAAGUAACUGUGCACAUCUUGACGGUACCUAAUCAGAAAGCCACGGCUAACUACGUG